GCAAGGAAAUAUCUCUAUAAAAAGAAUAGACUCUAUAAAUUAUUGGUCACUUACCUAGGGUUGUUACUAAAUUAUUUUAAAAGGAUAUAUAUUCUGCUCCUACACUCUCACUUCUGUCUCUCUCAGACUAAUUGCUUCCUGAACUAGGAAGGGUGUCCAGGCAGAGACCUAGGAAGUUUGAUAUAUUCCGGAUCCUUCAACUGCUGGGAUUCCAGAUGAUAAAUAAACUGCACAGUGGAAUUUGAAUCAACCUAUUCACAGACUAGAAGGGAGCAAGGGGAACCUUCAGAGUCUCCGUUGCACUCUGAGGGGUGUGGAAUGGAACAGAAAGGGCAAGCACAGGCUCUGUCGUCAGGAACACCCAGACUGAAACACAUCAGCGAGGAUGAACAGAAGGAAGCUGAAAGACAUUAAUGCUGUACAAUUAACCAAAGAAAGGCGUCAGACAAGGCUCCCAUGCACCAACCACUGCCCUCCCCUUUCAGUCCUGGAGACCGAAAGUCAAAUGAGGUGGUCAUCCUCCAUCCCUAAGUCCCGAAUGCUCCUCCAAUCCCUCUUGAGAUACAGACGCUGGAAAGAAGGAUUUGGUGUCUGUUGCUCUACACUGCUCAAAACCACUUCACCUCCUUGGGAAUGAGCAUUUCAGAGUUUCCUGAGCUUUCUCGGUGCUACCUGUCCAGCUAUAAAGGGAAGAUGGCAGAUGGUUAAAGGAACUUUACACAUACCCCAUCAGAAUCCAAGGCAGAUAAAACAAGGUAAUUUGCCGUUCCUCUGAGAGCCUGGUGCUCCCAUGAGGGACAAAGGAAGCUGGAUGCCCUGAUCAUCUAGAGUAAUUGCCGCCGCCGCCACCACCCUGACAAUAAUAACCCCCCCAACCACUGACAACCCUUUUCAUCUGAAGGAUCUCAAAGCACUUAGCCGCCAGGUGCUCAUUAAGGCCUCUUGGAUGAGGUUGGCUCGAUGGGUCUGAGGCCUUGCUACAGACGGUCAGGGUCAGGGGGUGACUCAGAGAACUUAGGGAGCCAAAUAUUGCAGAGGAGGGGGGCCCAUCAGCUUCCUACACGUGGGAAAAUGAGCCUCCUUGGCCCAGGUCUGGUGCCGACUCCAGGGGAAUGAAAAGGAGGCUAGCUCCUCCCCCAGCAGUCUGCAAGCAGGGUCAUGUAGAAUUAAUCCAACACAGAGCUCAUCUACCCCAAUACCAGACAGGACUGUUUACUCCCCCAAGAACUGGUGGGAGGCAUGGGGGUGUAGCAACAAGGAAAACAUCUCUGAAAGGAGAAAUGCGGAAUAGCUGAAGAAACACUGCCUCAAUCAAGAGAGAGUCUGAGGAGGGUGGUUCUGGGAUACUCAAGUCUUAGGAGUGGCCCUGGAUGGCCAAACAGGGAAGGGCUGCUCUUUGUUUUCCUGGGCCUCAAAAGAGGCAACAUCAGUUUUUCUACAGAAGUAGCCUAUGUACAAAGUCUGAAUGCAAACCCACAGUGUGUCCAUCAGAAUGUGAUUUCUGUUAACUGGCAACUGGCAAUCCUCUCUCCUGCCCCACUUUACAGCCUCUGUAACACUACGCCAAGGGAUGCAUGGAUCAAGUGAAUUAAAACAUCCCAACCUACCUGCCCAGUUCCACAGAGAUCACUACGCUGGAGUGAAGCCAAAAUCGUUUUGAAUGGCUCUUUCUGGUACAGACCACAAAGCCUGCCUUUAGAAAAAUGGACCACAAACUAACUCUGUGGACCAGUUGGCUGGGUCAUUAGACAAUCUCGGAAAAUCACAUACUCUUUUCACUUCCAUUUACUACUACAACUACCACAGCAAAGAUUAAAAGGGCUUUUGCCUGAUGGCAUAUGCGGCUUGUACAGAGGCAAAUCUAUAUCCAAAAAUAUACUUUAAAAUAAUGGCAUUUUUGGUGACAAUAUGGAAAUGCAUAAGUGGAAAGGCUGCAUACCUGUCUUGACCCUUUAGAUGACACAAAGCCAAAUCACUCUGGUGAAAACUGCUAGAAUUUCAAGUACAGGUCCCUUCAAGAAAAUGACCUUGGGUGUGCUAACUUUAAUAGUCCCAAACUGAAGAAAGACAGUAGAGUCACUGAGUGGCCUAUGGACUUGGAGGAAGAUGACUCCCUGUGUAUCAAACUUGAAGAACCAAUUGCUCAGGAAAACAUGCCUUGAGGGAAGAGAUGGGGUCUGCUGAUAGCUCCCCAGCUUGCCUCUGGAACCAAAGCCAAAGAGCCCCCAAGAAAUCCAAAGACCCCUAGACCUGUCUUGCUGCUGAAAGUUUCCAUUUCUCCAAAACUCUGCAAUCAGAAGAAAUAUUAGAAAUACACUCCUUUUAUUUAGUAUAGUCUCAAGGUCAUUUCUGUAUUCUUCUGUCCCAAAAUAGAACCCACCCCCACCCUCCAACCUCAGUUCUCCCAGACUGUAAAAAGAAGAAGGCAUCCAUUUGCUCAGAAAUUGGGGGUCCCCACCCCCAACCUCCAAGAGAUGAGGGAGGCAGGGGAAAGACACUCAUUAGCAAGUUGCAGGUGGUGUUACCAGGGUAUUAUUUAUUAUUUGUUGGCUGCCAAAGCUUCCCUGAGCCUGCAAAGACAGAGCCAUUGCCUCGGGGGCUGCAAAGUCUGAGACAGACAAACAACACACAACCCAGGCAUGAAAUCCACCCCACUGAGGAGCUGGAGGCAACCUCAAGGAUAGGAGCCACCCUCCUUUCUGGAGAGCCCUCUGGUUCCUGAAAGUCUUGGGGAAGGCGCAAAUGCAGGGGAGAGUCUAGAUCAGAGAGGAGCAGGCUCUCCAAAGGGAUGAGGGGGCUCCAAAGAAAGGAGUGCAGGCACAGGUUGAGGCAAGAGGUCUUAGAAUGGUGUGAGAGGUAGGAGGAAAUGAGAUCAGGGUUACAGGCUGGGACAGCAGGCAGAGGAGGCGGGUUGGGGGGAGAGGCGUUGCUGAAUGGAUGGGGGAGGCCAAGAGAUGUCAUCAGCUGUUGCGUGGGGGAGCACCGAUGCCAGAACACAAGUCGUGGCAAGAAUGAACCGCCAGAGGUACCGAAUGAUUAGGAGUCUAACCAGGGGGAAGAGGGGCUUGGUCAUCGGUAACAGCCUGUAUUGAGAUGCUACUGCUCCCUGAUAACCGCUCCUUUGCCAGCACAAAGCGGCCUGCAAAGGGAAGGGCCAGCGUGCGGCACGGUAGGACUCCUCAAGAUAACCGGCCAGGUAUCCCUUCGCUGGGAGAAGCCCCAUCUCAGAGCCGCGAAAGCUUGAAGUCUUGCCCGUAACCUCUUUCCCCAGGAAAGUAACUUGAGGCUCAUCGCCCCCAGGAGGUCCGUCCUGGGAAUCCCUGUUCUCAGUCCAUACUCUUGGUCCGAUCUCAUCUGCUGUGUGCACCUUGCUGAGACAAGAGAGCUUGUUUGGAGGCUUGGCAGAGAAGACUUCUCCCGUCUACCCAAAGAAAGCACUUCUAACCAAAGACAAGCACUUCUGUUUUUUGUUUUUUGUUUUUUUAAGUAUGCAACUGCAAGAGGGAUGGAGUGAAAGGGAGAGGGAAGUUGGGACUCCCAUCCAGUCAAUCCUGGAAACUGAUUGGUGAGAGAUGCCACAGCAGCACUUGGCCCUCACACCCUAGGCAGCGCAGUGGAAAAGAAGGCCUGGGAGGAAGGCCAGAGUGGCCUCUAAGCCAAAGGAGUCGGUCUUGUUGUGCUUACUGCCAGGAAGCCCUCUGCUGAGUUUCACCUCAGCACCUCCAGCUUUAAAUGCUCUCUUUUCCUCUGAUUUGGAAAAGGAGAAAAAGAAGUACCCUUGUCCUUCAUUUAGGUACCACGGAAACCGGUUAUUAAAUCUGUGAGCCGGGGCAGCUGGGUGGCUCAGUGGUCGAAUGUCUGCCUUUGGCUCAGGGCGUGAUCCUGGGGUCCCGGGAUCAAGUCCCAUGUUGGGCUCCCCGCAGGGAGCCUGCUUCUCCCUCUGCCUGGGUCUCUGCCUCUCUCUCUCUGUCUCUCUUGAAUAAAUAAAAUCUUUAAAAAUAUGCA
rnacentral:lncRNA from 12 species